UUUUUUUUUUUUAGGUUAUCUCUCGAAUUCACCGUGUUUUUUUACAUAGCUUCUUCUAUCCUUUGAGUAGGGGAAGAAAAUCGUUCUCAUCGGUUGGGUGUGGGUUCCCUCCCCAUCCUGACUUGGUGUUAUUGAUAAUUGUUUUGGGUUUUGUUUGGCAAUCUCUAAAGUUUUCAAAGGGAGGGUUGCCUGAAGUAGAUUAGUGAUCUAAGAGCUAGGUGGUUUUAGCUCAGUGUCGUUUGCCUGAAGGGAGGAGCCUUAAAGCUUUGUAGGGACGUCGGCUAUUCUAGGGGUACACACCUCUUCCUCUCUGUUUGAAGGUUGAUCCCCAGGCUAAAAGAGAAUGAGAGACCAGUGAGUUUGCGGCGCCACCCUUCCCGACUAGUCAACGGUUCUGAAGCAUGGAAAAGGAGACCCUUUGCUAGUUUUAUUGAGACCCUUUGAUGGUCUUUGUGCAGUAGCUAUUUUUUCUUAUUUAAGGCGAUGGGUUCUCAAAUAUUUCUUCUGGCAUUUCUAGCUCAGAGCAGGGAGGUGGACGGCGGCGCUGGAAUGUAAAGAUGGCUCUGUUCUUUACUAGGCUAAGGUUUCCUGAUUGUGUUUUGAGCUGGAUUGAUUUAUAUUUGGGUUGAUUUAUUUUGAAACUGGUUUGGGCUUGUGAUUUAUUUCUAGACUUAUUAUUAUAUGUUUUAUCCUCUGAGUCUUGUUUAAUGCAAAGUAAAAGUUUACCG
rnacentral:misc_RNA from 1 species